GAUUAGCGGCGGACGGGUGAGUAACGCGUGAACAAGCUGUCCUUCACAGGGGGAUAACACUUGGAAACAGGUGCUAAUACCGCAUAAGACCACAGGGGUGCAUGCUCCAGGGGUCAAAGGAGCAAUCCGGUGAGGGGUGCGUUCGCGUCCCAUUAGAUAGUUGGCGGGGCAACGGCCCACCAAGUCGACGAUGGGUAGCCGACCUGAGAGGGUGAUCGGCCACACUGGGACUGAGACACGGCCCAGACUCC
rnacentral:rRNA from 1 species